GGUAAACGCUGGCGGCGUGCCUAAAACAUGCAAGUCGAACGCACAUCCUUCGGGGUGUGAGUGGCAGACGGCUGAGUAACGCGUGGGUGACGUACCUAUCGAUGGGGAAUAACUGCCCGAAAGGGUGGCUAAUACCGCAUACGCCCGCUUCUGCAUUGGAGCGGGGAAAGUUUCGCAAGAGGCGUCGAUGGAGCGGCCCGCGUCCGAUUAGCUUGUUGGUGGGGUAACGGCCUACCAAGGCGACGAUCGGUAGCUGGUCUCAGAGGAUGA
rnacentral:rRNA from 1 species